GCCGGGCGUGGUGUCGCAUGCCUGUAAUCCCAGAUACUUGGGAGGCUGAGGCAGGAGAAUUGCUUGAACCUGGGAGGCAGAGGUUGCAGUGUGCCGAGAUCAUGCCACUGCACUCCAGCCUGGGUGACAGAGCGAGACUCUGUCUAAA
rfam:Gorilla gorilla gorilla genomic chromosome, chr2A, whole genome shotgun sequence